rnacentral:rRNA from 1 species
UACGAAGGGGGCUAGCGUUGCUCGGAAUGACUGGGCGUAAAGGGCGCGUAGGCGGAUGGCACAGUCAGAUGUGAAAUUCCCGGGCUUAACCUGGGGGCUGCAUUUGAUACGUGUGAUCUAGAGUGAGGAAGAGGGUCGUGGAAUUCCCAGUGUAGAGGUGAAAUUCGUAGAUAUUGGGAAGAACACCGGUGGCGAAGGCGGCUCACUGGCUCGUAUCUGACGCUCAGGCGCGACAGCGUGGGGAGCAAACAGG